GACGAACGCUGGCGGCGUGCUUAACACAUGCAAGUCGAACGAAGAGCGAUGGAAGCUUGCUUCUAUCAAUCUUAGUGGCGAACGGGUGAGUAACGCGUAAUCAACCUGCCCUUCAGAGGGGGACAACAGUUGGAAACGACUGCUAAUACCGCAUACGAUCUAAUCUCGGCAUCGAGGAUAGAUGAAAGGUGGCCUCUACAUGUAAGCUAUCACUGAAGGAGGGGAUUGCGUCUGAUUAGCUAGUUGGAGGGGUAACGGCCCACCAAGGCGAUGAUCAGUAGCCGGUCUGAGAGGAUGAACGGCCACAUUGGGACUGAGACACGGCCCAGACUCCUACGGGAGGCAGCAGUGGGGAAUCUUCCGCAAUGGACGAAAGUUGACGGAGCAACGCCGCGUGAGUGAAGACGG
rnacentral:rRNA from 1 species